UGCUGGCUCGCCUAGCCGAAAAAAUGUGGAUACCAUCGGAUUUCAUAUUCCUCUACUUAAGGUGUAUUGGGUAAAUUUACAUAAAUGUGUACCACCUGAUUACCAUUUGAGCAAACAGUCUUUCAAGAGACUGCAUGUGCACUUGUUACAUUAGAAGCUGUGUCCACUUCUGUACUUUACAGAAACAGUCAGUGGCACUUCAUUUCAUUGAAUACUUCGGAUUUGGGGUAGGGCUUAAGCAGAUCAUUCAGAGUUAAGUUCAGGGACGGGCUUCGUGCCGUUUGUCUUCAUUCUUUAAGGUCAUCACUCAGCACUUCUUAGAGGUUUGCUGCUACACCAGCCGAAGUUAUCAGCGCAACAUGUUGCCCUCAUUGCGAUUCACCCUUCUACCAACACCAUACGGUCACUCAGUACUUCUUAGAGGUUUGCUGCCACCCUUGCCGUAGCAUUCAGUGCAAGAUUGUAUCCUCAUCGUGACCUCCACCCAACCCACAAAACCCUAAAGCCCUAAAAUCUAUAAAUUUGUUACAAAUCUUGAAAUCUUUUUAAAACUGUAACAAUAGCUUCAAAUCCUGAUUUACGUAUACUCUUGUGUAAAUUUCUUUAUAACUCAAACUAGUUCUUUAAAUACCACAAAAAAUAGUUUAUAGCUUUUCAACCUAAUAAUUUACAUUUUUAAAAAUUUUGAUCUAAAAACUCAUGUGGAAACUCAAGAUAUGACUCCAACUAUUACUAUUAAUAAACCAAUAUACUCAUUGCCUUUGAAUUACUUGUAUUGUCUUCAAUUUCCUAUAACUUCUUUAAACAAACUCUAAAUGUAAUAAUUCUUUUUUAAAUAACAUUAGUCUUAAAAUCGCCCUUGUAGUUGUAUCUUUCAAUCUCUAAAAGCUAUUGUACAACUUCUCAUAUCCUCAAAAGACCAACAAUAUGUCUUAAAAGACCUUUUAACUUCAAAUGGUUAUAAUAGCUUCACUUCAGACUCCAAAUCCUCUAAAUUUUGAGCAAAAAUUAUAGCUUAAAUUAUAAAUCUUAUAUUUCCUACUUUUGAUUCUCAAAUGUAUCUUUUGAAGUUGCCAAAAUUCUUAUUAUGGAUAUAGAUAGCCUAUUGAAAGCCCAUUGGUCAUGACCUUCAACUAAUAGAAAUAAAGACCUUCAAUCUUUACUUUCAUUCAUCCAUACCUUGCUUUCAUCGCUCCAAAUAAGUUUUUUAGUAGUUUGGAUCUUCAGCUUUGAGUUCCAAUCUUUUCUAAAAAUAAUUGUAGUAAAUAUUUAGAUCAUAUAUAAUUUAAACACUAUAAUCAAAAUAUGUAAAUCUCAAUAUAAAUUUUCUUACAUCAACUAUUUUUAAAUUAAUCUACUAAUUAUUCUAAUAUAUAUCAUGACUUAUAAAUAUAUUAUAUAUUUUAAUUGAUUUUUACGUAAUAUAAACAAUUACAAUACUAUGAUAUUAUUUCCUCCUUUUAGAGACAAGUGCUACACAAAGUGGUCAUCAUUUUUUAAUAGAUCUUCUUAUUCUUCAUCUUACUUUGAUAGAUCUUAUCAAUGAAAAGUCUCAACAUUCUUUACUACAUUUGCAAGAUUCUUUCUUGGCUCUCAUGUGCAUUUACUAAUAUCAUAUCUAUACUAAUAAAUAAGAUAUUCCAACAUAUUUUAGCACCGCCUUGAAUCUAAGUCUUUUUUUACUUCAAAUUUUUUAUUACUAUCCACUUUUAUAAGAAGAUGUAGUAUUUGUCUUCUUUUUAAAAUAUUCAUUAUCUUGUGUGGCUCUAAAAGAAAUAUGUAGAAUAUGGAAUAUAUCUUCAUAGGCUCUAGUGUCAUAUUAUAUGUUAUCUUAUUUAGAAAUGCACCAAGCACUUAACUAUAGAAGGUGAAGUAUUUUACAAGUAUCCAAAAAACCUUACUAUUUUUUAUUCAUACAAGAAGAAUGCAAUUCAAAUUUCAAUUCAAAAGUUCUUAAAAUCAAUACAAAGUGCUCAAAAAUACUCUUUUUAGUAACCUCAACUAUACACAAACUCUAAUAGUCUUAUUACUUUCAUAAUUAGGUAAUUUCUAUUUUUCUUUACAAGCCCUAAUCCUAGUCAUUGAGCUUUAGUAAGCUAUAACUUUUAAUCUAAUUAUUUCCUUGAUACAAAUUUUUUCAUAUAAAUGCCACUAUAAGUCUUUUAUAUACUCAAAAAAUUUCAAUUUAAUCCAAAUUAUAGAGUGUGAGAAAACAUCCAAAAAACCGCAUUAAUGUUACUUGGUUGGCAACUUAAAAGUUGAUGCAAAUGUUCUAUUUGUAAUUUUUCCUUCUUCAACGAUUAACUUUUGUUCAAAAUUAGUAUGUAGCUUGAUCUUUAUGUCCUCUAAUACAAUGCCAAAUUUCAUCUUUACGUCUUCUAAUACAAUGCCAACUUAUAGAUCUUUAGAUAUCAUAGAAAUCUUAUCUGACUUAAAAUUGCCAAUUUAUAGAUCUUUAGAUAUCAUAGAAAUCCUAUCUGAUUUCAAACUACCAACUUUCGAUACCUUCUUGUAUUAAAAACCAAAUAUCUUUCAAUUAUAUUAUUAGAUUAAUACAAAAUUUUAUUUACACUUAGAACACCUAAUCAACCAAGUAUUAUCCAAUUUUGAAUUGUAGAUGUGACACUAACUACAAGGACUUUAUUACUCCUAAUUUAAUUACAUAAAUUCAAAGUUACUAAUAUAAAACUUGACUUUGAAUAAUAAUUUCAAAGUCAUCUCAAAUUCUAUGAAAACAAGCCUUAUGCUUUUAAGAGAAGCUUAAAACUAGCUCUUCAAUUUCAAUCUUUGAUCUCCAAAUGCUUCCAUAUUUUGCCCUUGGCGACUAUUUUAAUGGCUACAAGUCUCAUUUUGACCCUGUCUUAGAAACGGCAAACUUUUGGAUAUCAAUCGAACCUAUCAUAGGAAUUUUUUAGCUCGACCCUACCUUCAACUUAAUCUUAAUUUCAAUCAUAUUAAUUAUUUAUCUCUUUUAUCUUAUUUUUAUUAAUUUAUAGCUUUUUUUAGGCAAUAAGAAAAUUUCUACAGCUUGAAAGGUAAAAUUAUUAAUCAAUCUUUAAUCUAUUAAUUAUCAAUAUAAAAAAAAUAAAAUAUAUUUUUUUUUUAUAAAAGUCAUGUUUAAAAGGCUUGAAUCAUUAUUAAAUCAAGAUGAUAGCAUAUUAAUUAGAAAUUUAUUUUCGAUUAUAUUUUUAAAAUAUAAUUGUAUUACAAUAUGACACUAGUAGAUGUAAUUUAUCAGCAAUAUAAUUGACUAGUGUAUAAGUAAGAAAUGGUCCAAGCUAUAGUAAUUCAACUUGUCACAAAGACACCUAAUCUUGAUAUUGUGAUGAAGUAACUAUACUUUGUUACCAAUGUGAAAUUGAUGUUGCUCCCUAUGAUGAAUAUCAACCUUUGUCUUUUGUUAUUUUUAAUCUUCUUUUAAAUAUGCCUUCUAUAUUAAAUAUAAGUCAAAUAAAUAAUUUAUCAAAUCUUUUGCUAUAAGAUUAUCAACUUUUGAGAAGUCAAAAACAUCAAGAUAUAGAUGGUAACUAUAAUUAGUAAAAAAAUAUAUUUUUUGUUAAAAAAAGUGUACUAUAUUAUUAUUAACAAACUCUGUCAAUGGCAAAAGAAUUGUCUAAUCAUCUUAUUGGUAGUUGAUGAUAUAUCUUAAUUAUUGCUCUAAAACUUGAUUUAUAUGCUUUAUUUGUUUAUCAAUUUAGGAAAGAAAAGCCAAAGAGAGCUUUAUAUCCAUUUUUAAAAUUUUAAAAAAGAUUUUUUAAAAUCUUAUUAUAAAUUGAGUCCCUCUAUUCAAUAUAAUAUCUUUGAGCAAUCCAUGAUUAUAAUAGUUGUGAUAAAAAAAAAACUUGGUUGUUUCUUUACUUUUAAUAGAUUUUGUAUAUAGUAUAAAAUAUAUCAUCUUGAUAAAAUGAUCUACUAUCAUAAAUAUAGAAUCAUAAGAACUUGACAGUAAAAGAUCCGUGAUAAAACCCAUAGAAAUAGAAGAUAAUGAUUGUUCUAGAAUAAGUAAUGGAUGAAAAAGUCCAUAAGGUCAAUGACAAGGAAUUUUUGAUCUUGAACAAAUGUUACAUGAUUAUAUAAAGUUUAUAACUACCUUCUAUAUUUGAAGCCACUAAAAAUUUUUAGGUACUUUUUGUAUCCAAAAUGUCCGACAGUAGGGAAGUCAUAAUGAGCUUAAAGAAUAUGUAAUUAUACUUUGCCUUUAGGAAUAUAUCAUUAUUCCUUAAAAUAGAAUAGAUUAUUCUUGAAUUUGAAUUUAGAAGUAUUAUGAGACUUAAAAGAAUUGCAUUUAAUAUCUAAACAAGAGAAUUAAAGGACAUACUCAAUUGAAUUUGCUUGAAAAAAGUUAAGUCAAUAAUCAAUGUUGUUUUCAUUGCUCGUAGAUAAAAAUUCUUUGACUUCAAGAGAAUCAUUUUUUAUUGAUAAAAAUUUUUAUAUUAAAGAUAAUUAUUCUUUGGUAUAAGAUAAAAAUAUUUAAAGAUGACAUUUGAAAAAUCUUAUUAUUUUUUGGAUCAAUAAAUAAACUUAAAAUCAAAUAUUGAUAAAAAUAUGCUCCAACAAGCUUAGCAAUGAUUCAAAACUUAUGCCAACAUGAAGUACUUGAGGUUAUUUUGAUCUAAAUACAUAGUAAUUGGAUUCAAGGCACCUUCUACAUAAUAAUGCCAUACUUAAAAUAAAUCCACAAUUACAAAAAAUUCUUUGUUGUCGAUUUUAUAGUUAAUCUUAGUUGCUGAAAAAAAAUUGGAAUGAAAAAUUACUAGGUGGAGUUUUUUAUAUGUUCUAAUUUAUAACAAAAUAAUAUCUAUAGCAAGAUUUGAUAUAUAUAUAUAUAUAUAUAUAUAUAUAUAUAUGUGCCUUGAAAAUAUAAACAUAAUACAAGAUUGAUAUAGAAAUAAAUGAUGUCUUUAAAGCUUCAAAAGAUGCUUCAAAUUCUUUGCUCUAUUGAAAUUUUUCUUUAUAUGUUAAGCAUAUAUAAGGAACUAUAACUUGAAUAAAUUUCUUGAUAAAAAUCAAGUAAUAAUUAGUAAUUUUUUUAAAUAUAUAUAUAUAUAUAUAUAUAUAUAUAUUUUAUUAUUUUUGAGAACUUUCAAUCUAUGAUAAUUUGGACUUUCUUAAGAUCCAUCAUAAGACCAUUAUUUGACAUGAUGUACUUUAGAAAGUUAACUUGAGUAAUGAAAAAUAUAUACUUUUCUAUCUUAUAUUUGUUUAUAAUAAGUAAAAAAUAACUGAAACAUAUAAUAUAUUUAUAAGUAUUGAUACAUAUUACAAUGAUUAAUAGAUUAAUUUAAAGAGAGUUAAUAUAAGAAAAUUUAUUUUGAAGUUAAUCUAUUUUGAUUAUAGUAUUUAAAUUAUAUAAGAUUUAGAUAUUUAAUAUAAAAUUUAAAGAAAAGAUUGAGACUUAAAGAUUAAGAUUCAAACCUCUAAGAAACUUAUUUAGAGGGAUGAAAGUAAGAUAUGGAUGGAUGAAGGUAAGAAGUAAAGAUCUUCAUCCUUAUUAGUCAAAAGCCAUAUCCAAUAGUCUCUCAAGAGAUUAUCCACAAUAAUAAUAAGGAUUUUGGUGGCUUCAAAAAAAACAUUUAAGAAUCAAAAGCAAGGAUUGUAACGUUUAGUUUAGCGAAAUAUAGAUAAGAUAUUUGUAUUGUUGAUACAUAGAGAUAGAUAGUUAAAGCUAUAUUUGAAAACUUUAUAGAAGUUUCUAAAAUUGGGACUAUAUAAGAACCAUUGUGGAUCAUUCUAAAAGAAUAUAAGCACUUAAUUAUGCUCUAAAAUUUUAAUUUUUGUUAUUUUUUAUUUUAUGAUAAUUAAACAUAUUAGAUUAGGAUUUAUAUAAGUAAAAUUUAAUGUUAUAGAAUUUGUAGGAUUAGAGCCUUUGAUGGUAUAAAUCAUAGCUUAAUUCCUUGAUUUAGGAUAAUUAGGACCAAAGUGAUAAGAGUUAGAAAAUUAAAAACAUAAUUUAAUUACUUUUAAUAAUUUAGAGAUUAUUAAUUAUAACUAUGAGGAUUAACUAAGAGCCUAUGAGUUUAUCUAUAAUCAUCUUAUAUAAUUUAGAAUGAGUUAGAAUUAUAAUUUUUUAAAAGAUCUAAUGAAGUUUAGUAAUGACAAUUUUGAGAUUUCCUCCAAAUUCAAUAAAUUCAAGCGGCAUAGCGGUUCUUCUAUUUAAUAGAAACCUUUCCAAUGCAAUAGUGGCACCAAAUUUAUCCCUUGAAGUGAAGAAAACAAAAUCAGCACCUUCUCUUUCAAAAUACAAGUAGAAUUAUGAAAUUCUCAUUUUGAAGAAUUUUACAAGAAUUACCAAAAUCCUUUUAGAUAAAAACUUUUAUAAAAAUUACAAAUGAGCAUGGAUUGAGGCAUGAGAGUAGUUGAUUUUAGCAUAAAAAGAUAUUUUGAAUACAAAGGUGAAGUUAUAUUUACCAAAAAGUGCUUUCUUUGACCACUCACAAGAGCCAUCAGCCUUGGUAAUGAAAUUAGCUCUUAGAUGAAUGAAGGCCUUAGAUCUACAUUAGGCAUCUUAGAGAUCAAGGGUGGAGAUGCGGCCACCCUCUCAAAAACCACCACUCAAUUUUAUAAGAGUGGCUUGGUUCUCCAAGCCAUCUCUCUCCUCUUUUAGUGAACGACACAACCAUGCCAAAUUUUGGCCCUAAAUCUUAAUCUUAAUUUCAAUUUUGAUCUUAAAUCUCAUUGUAAACUUUCUGAUUGUGUGUGCAUGGAUCUUGAGUAGUGAAUGAUGGUCAUUAGGUUUUAAGACAUACUUCAUUGUGGUAGAUAGCUCCUUCGCCUCCUAAAUACUCUAAGGAUUUUAAGAGCCUCAGAUUUCCUUCAAUCACUUAUUUAAUUUUUUGAUUUUCAAUGAAAAAUGUUUUUUGGCUAUAGCUUUUGGUUUUAGCUUUCCAAUAAGGUAAGGGCCACUCGAUUUGGAGUAAAGGCGAAAUUUUGGUGGAAUUUUGAGUGCAUGGGGGUCGGCUGCAAUGGCAGUUUAAAUUACCCACCUUUGAAAAGGUAUUUCUUAGUGCUUCCUAAUUGGAUUAUUUUUAAUAUUUGAGAUAAAAUUUAUCUUUAAUCUGAAAUUCUAAGGACAUAAAAUGCAUUAAAUUUGAAGAAAAAUUGAAUUUUUGGUUGAUUUCCAAGUAGAGAGAGGUUGCCUACUGUGGUAGUCUUAGUUAGUCAAUUUUGAAGGAGCAUUUCUUGCGGUUAGAUACUAGAUUGAAUUUAAAUUUAUUGAAGCAAGAGGGGCUAAAAUAAUAUAAUUCGAUACAUUCUGUGAUAGAUAAUAUGGACAUAAUAUCUGCUACACAUCAGCCUGGUUAAUUUAUUGAUAACAGGUAUCUUUCACACAGGUUCUUAAUCGAUACUUUUCUGUAUCACUAAGGGUACUCAGUUGCUGGCUCGCCUAGCCGAAAAAAUGUGGAUACCAUCGGAUUUCAUAUUCCUCUACUUAAGGUGUAUUGGGUAAAUUUACAUAAAUGUGUACCACCUGAUUACCAUUUGAGCAAACAGUCUUUCAAGAGACUGCAUGUGCACUUGUUACAUUAGAAGCUGUGUCCACUUCUGUACUUUACAGAAACAGUCAGUGGCACUUCAUUUCAUUGAAUACUUCGGAUUUGGGGUAGGGCUUAAGCAGAUCAUUCAGAGUUAAGUUCAGGGACGGGCUUCGUGCCGUUUGUCUUCAUUCUUUAAGGUCAUCACUCAGCACUUCUUAGAGGUUUGCUGCUACACCAGCCGAAGCUAUCAGCGCAACAUGUUGUCCUCAUUGCGAUUCACCCUUCUACCAACACCAUACGGUCACUCAGUACUUCUUAGAGGUUUGCUGCCACCCUUGCCGUAGCAUUCAGCGCAAGAUUGUAUCCUCAUCGUGACCUCCACCCAAACAUAUCCACCCCAUGUUUCCCAUUCCAUCUCCAAAUCCCUCAUUUAACGGAUAUCUAUUUUUGUAAUCACCAUUUUCAUGAUUAGCAUGUUAUAAUCCUCGGGACUGCUGCGCCACACGCCUCACUCGUGGCUUUUGUCAGACCCAAUAAUGACCAAAAAGCAGUAAUCCGCUAUCUGAUAAAGUGAGGGUUCUAUCACUCUUGGAACUCUUAUUCGACUCCACAGCACUGUAUCAGCUGAAAAGACAAACUUUAGGUCCCGCACUCUAACAUUCCAUGGAUCAGUAGGCAAAACUCGCUGGUGUUUCUCCACUCAUCCAAAAGGAUUCUCAGAAACACGGACCAAUUGCGAUCAUCAUCUCCA
rnacentral:lncRNA from 1 species